CAAAUGAAAUUGUUAUGCGAUAGCGGUUGAAGUCUCAGAAACCCCGACGGUCGGAUACUGACAUGGAGUGAAAACCUCCUAGGACCCCUGGGUCGAUGGGGAGUAUUUCCCGAUAAAUCUAUUUUUAAUCCACCGAAUCGGACAUUGGAAUUCUAUCGAACUAAUAUUUCCCGGCGUUCCUUACGUUCCCAACGAAAUCCGUUGUCAGAGAGCGAAAUGGAAAAUAAUAACAAACGUACUACACUCGUAAAGUUAGCCCCU